GGGGUGCGCUCAGAGCAGGUGGCCUGAAGAAUGGCUUCUCUGUUUACAACACACCCAACAGGAAUCUAGGAUCAUUGUGACAAGGGGCACAAAACUUGUGACCUCUCUUGGGAGCAAAUGUCCUACACAU
ensembl:snoRNA